CCGUUCCUACGGGGCGCAGCAGUGAGGAAUAUUGGUCAAUGGGCGCAGGCCUGAACCAGCCAAGUAGCGUGAAGGAUGACUGCCCUACGGGUUGUAAACUUCUUUUAUAUGGGAAUAAAGUUUUCCACGUGUGGAAUUUUGUAUGUACCAUAUGAAUAAGGAUCGGCUAACUCCGUGCCAGCAGCCGCGGUAAUACGGAGGAUCCGAGCGUUAUCCGGAUUUAUUGGGUUUAAAGGGAGCGUAGGUGGACAGUUAAGUCAGUUGCGAAAGUUUGCGGCUCAACCGUAAAAUUGCAGUUGAUACUG
rnacentral:rRNA from 1 species